rnacentral:lncRNA from 1 species
UUGGGGUGUGCGUAAAAAUCUGAAUUUCAGAUUUUUGAUCUUUUAGAUUUGGGAAGAGGGAAUAAAUUAGAAGAAAAUUGCUUUCUUCUCCAUCUUUCUUCUACCUCUUCAUCUCCUCUAGAAGUUUAUCUUCAAUCUCUGAAAAGAUUUUAAAGAUUUAAAAAAAAAAUCCAGAUCAACCAAGAAGAAGAUCUUCGCACGAGCUAGCACUCCCGAGAAGAUCGAUCAGAUUGAAGCUUCGAGUGGAUUUUCUGUAGAG